UACGUAGGUGGCAAGCGUUGUCCGGAAUUACUGGGCGUAAAGGGCUCGUAGGUGGCCAACUAAGUCAGACGUGAAAUCCCUCGGCUUAACCGGGGAACUGCGUCUGAUACUGGAUGGCUUGAGUUUGGGAGAGGGAUGCGGAAUUCCAGGUGUAGCGGUGAAAUGCGUAGAUAUCUGGAGGAACACCGGUGGCGAAGGCGGCAUCCUGGACCAACACUGACACUGAGGAGCGAAAGCCAGGGGAGCAAACGGG
rnacentral:rRNA from 1 species